AAUUAAAUGAUGAAAAUUAUGAUAGGGACAUCUGAAAUUAAUGAUCGAUUUAUCAUUUUUGUAGAUAACUGAUUAAUU